rnacentral:rRNA from 1 species
AUUGAACGCUGGCGGCAGGCCUAACACAUGCAAGUCGAACGGUAACAGGAAGAAGCUUGCUUCUUUGCUGACGAGUGGCGGACGGGUGAGUAAUGUCUGGGAAACUGCCUGAUGGAGGGGGAUAACUACUGGAAACGGUAGCUAAUACCGCAUAACGUCGCAAGACCAAAAAGGGGGAACUUCGGGCCUCUUGCCAUCGGAUGUGCCCAGAUGGGAUUAGCUAGUAGGUGGGGUAACGGCUCCCCUAGGCGACGAUCCCUAGCUGGUCUGAGAGGAUGACCAGCCACACUGGAACUGAGACACGGUCCAGACUCCUACGGGAGGCAGCAGUGGGGAAUAUUGCACAAUGGGCGCAAGCCUGAUGCAGCCAUGCCGCGUGUGUGAAGAAGGCCUUCGGGUUGUAAAGUACUUUCAGCGGGGAGGAAGGGAGUAGAGUUAAUACCUUUGCUCAUUGACGUUACCCGCAGAAGAAGCACCGGCUAACUCCGUG